rnacentral:rRNA from 1 species
GAUGAACGCUAGCGGCAGGCCUAAUACAUGCCAGUCGGACGGGAUCCAUUGAUAGCUUGCUAUCAAUGGUGAGAGUGGCGCACGGGUGCGUAACGCGUGAGCAACCUGCCUCCAUCAGGGGGAUAGCCUCUCGAAAGAGAGAUUAACACCGCAUAAUAUCAACAGUUCGCAUGUUCAGUUGAUUAAAUAUUUAUAGGAUGGAGAUGGGCUCGCGUGACAUUAGCUAGUUGGUAGGGUAACGGCUUACCAAGGCGACGAUGUCUAGGGGCUCUGAGAGGAGAAUCCCCCACACUGGUACUGAGACACGGACCAGACUCCUACGGGAGGCAGCAGUAAGGAAUAUUGGUCAAUGGGCGGAAGCCUGAACCAGCCAUGCCGCGUGCAGGAUGACUGCCCUAUGGGUUGUAAACUGCUUUUGUCCAGGAAUAAACCUAAAUACGAGUAUUUAGCUGAAUGUACUGGAAGAAUAAGGAUCGGCUAACUCCGUG